UCUGGUUGCACUGGAGGAGAGAGAUUCAAGCUUGGUUAGAUAUGAGUGGGGAAGUAAGGGACCACCUGACCCAAAGACUUCUCUUUCUGAAAUAUUCUUGUCAUGCCAACUUCUGGAAACUCACCUUCCUAGAUCUUGCUGGAGAAGGGGACAAGAAAAGGAUGUGAUAAAAUCCUAAAGACUGGCUGUUCACGUCUGAACUCUGGAUUCUAAAAGCACUGGAAGAAGCCAGCAUCUGUCUCUUUAGGUCCAGUUUCACUCCCUGGGACUGUCUGAGUGUUCUCCACAGAUUCUAAGGAUUAUUCUUGCUGCUGUGUUGAGAAUACACAGAAUGUAGAGAGAGUCAAGGUUUGAAGCAGGACGUCCAGUGAAAGCUGCCAUAAUAACUUGGGUAAGAGAUGAAAGUAGUUUGGACUAGGUUGAUGAUGAAAUACUAGAUAUGGCUGUAAAAAGAGAAGUCAGAAAUGACAUCCACAUUGUAUUGCCCAGACAACUGAAUCAGUGGAGAUGUCAUUAACUAUGAUGGGGGAAAUUGCACACACACACACACACAAAAAAAAAAAAAAAAAAAAAAAAAA